CUUUAGGUCACUGGCCUUUUUCUUACUGAUCUCUUUGAACCACAAAUGGUUUCCUAAAACUAAGCAAUGCAAACAGACGUGCUUCAGGAAGAAUGGCCUGAGAACGGUGAAAAGUCUACUAUUUAAAAUCCUUCAUAAGUGAAGACUGCUUCCUCUCAGUUUUAUGUUCUGCAAUUUCUCGACAAUAUGCCAAGUUAUGCCCAGGAUGUAGAGACCUGCUCCCAUCCAGACAAGAAGGAAGAGCCAGGUGCUCAUCGGAAGGAUGGAAGACAGAAAAUCUUCCUCAGUGGGGAGGACCUAGAGCACGGGAGUGGGAAAAUAGAUCCCUACUCUCUAUGGAACAAAAGUAUCAAACAACUGGGGUAGAGGCAACAAGUCUUGUCAUCCCCAGGGAAGGGGUGGAGACCCACUGAAGCUAAGGAAGUGUACAGAAAAUACUUUCUGGCUGCCAAGAGCACAAAUGUGAGGGCUGGAGCUCCAGCAGUCAUUUUGGCCACAAGAUGAUAGACUUUGGAGGCUGUGAAUAGGAUGGUGGGGCAGAGAGAAGGAACCAAAUUCCCUGAUGAUGACCAGCCCAGCC